GAGGUCCUGGAUGGCAGAGAGCUCGGCCCCAGUGAUGCCUUGUGGUCGGAUGGUGAACAGUUGCCAUACCAAGCGGGAUGCUCUCGAUGGUGCAGUUGUAGAACUUUUUGAUGAUCUGAGGACUCAUGCCAAAUCUUUUCAGCCUCCUAAAGGGGGAAUAGGCAUUGUCGACUCUGUUUUGACCAUUAUAGGUUCUUACUGAUGUGGACACAAAUGAACUUGAAGCUCUUGACCUUCUCCACUACAACCCUGUCAAUGUGAAUGGGGGCAUGCUCGGUUUUCCUUUUCCUGUAAUACACAAUCAGCUCCUUUGUCUUGCUCAUGUUGAGGGAGAGAUUGUUGUCCUGGCACCAAACUGUCAGGUCUCUGACCUCCCUAUAGGUUGUCUCUUCAUCGUCAGUGAUCAGGCCUACCACUGUCGUGUCGGAGUCAUGUGUGACCACGCAGUCGUGGGUGAACAGGGAGUACGGCAGGGGUCUAAGUACGCACCCCUGAGGGGCGCUCAUGUUGAGGGUCACCUUGUGGUGGAUGUGUUGUUGCCUACCCUCACCACCUGGGUGCGGCCUGUCAGGAAGUCCAGGAUCCAGUUGCAGAGGGAGUUGGGUCCUUAGGUUAGCGAUGAGCUUGGAGGGCACUAUGGUGUUGUACUCUGAGCUGUAGUCAAUGAACAGCUCUGGUCAUGUAGGUGUUCCUUUUGUCCAAGAAACCCACAGCAAGAAUGACUCAGUUUCUUUGUUUUCCUAAGAGUGUUGUCCAUAUGAUCAUACCUUCUAUUCCCAUGUUCUGACAGAAGACCGCUUUGUCCUAUGUCUUUUCUUCUUUCAGUUUUCACACUCAACAACUGUAGUUUAGACAUAACUUGAAUGAGAGUUGUGUAGCCUAUUCAGUUCAGUCAGUACGUCUUUCUUUAAUCCACACAAAGAAUGUUUGAAAUCUUAACAAAGUCUUCUCCAAUCCUACUUCCUUAGCUAAAUUGAAGACGACGGUUCCUAGUCAGAAAGGCACUACAGCACCGCCAGCUGGAUGGGGGUUUACUACUGUGCAAGGCAGCCUACAGACCAUUAGUAAAGGUUAAAUAUGACUACGGCAUGUGUGUCAAUUGAGAACUGUUGUCUAAAUCAGUGGCUCUCAAUUCUCUCCUCGGGGACUCCAGCUGUACAGAGCUAGCACACCUGAUUCAACUAAUAACACCUAUAGAAUUUUGACAAUAUAUUUAACCAGAAUUUUAAAUAAAGCAUGGUUCUUCAAAGUGUAUUUGUUAAUCAAAUUAAAAGCCCA
rnacentral:lncRNA from 1 species